ACAGUCAUAUCACAUUGAAACACCAGUUUCUAUACAAUCACCAAAGUUAAGCAACUUUGAACCUGGUCAGUACUUAGAUGGGUGACUGCUUGUGAAUACCAAGUGCUGUAAG